rnacentral:lncRNA from 1 species
AUGCCGUGGAGAUUCUGAAGGAGCAUUGGCACUCUUCCCCGUUGGCUUGCUGAUAUUGUCAGGGAUUUCUGCGGUAGGACAAAUUGAUGACAACGGUGUUGAGUAAAAUGUAUAGUGUUGCCAAUAGUUCUCUGGCACAAUAACUGAGGAAAGGUAGACUAUGCAAAAGAUCGAUGUACUCUGUAGAAAAUAGUUGAGCUCAGUGAAGAAAUAAAGUAUUAUUUUGUUGUUGUGAAUUAUAUUACACAUGCACAUUGCAAUCACCAGGGAUAGGAGCUAUGUAUCUAUCAUACGUACGUAGCUAUGCUUAGGAAGCAGACGCUCAAAAAAUGUAUGCAAGUUAGAUCCCAAACUUAGUGACCGACUGCAGGCAAGCUUUAAGCAUCUCCUACUUUAAACUACCAUCUACUCUAAUGCAAACUCUGAGGCACAAAUGAUUAUGUUAUUUUCAGUUUUCCGUAAGGGCAUCCAAUAGGCUACCCACAUAGCCCUCGUGACUUACUUUUUAAAUGCAUUGAUGGAUGGGUGUUACUCUCUCUGUCCCAAAAUAAGCGACUCAACUUUAUACUAACUUUUUACUAUCAUUGUUACAUUACAAAUGAUUAUGUACUCAUCCGUUCCAAAAUAAUAAUAAUAUAAGGUGUGCUUUGUAUUACUAAGGCAAGGCUUUAACCAAGCAUUACUCCCUUGGUCCAUGUAACCUUGUGAUCUACUCCAUCCGUUUCAAAAUAGAUAACCCAACUUUAUAUUAAUUUUGUACUAAAGUUAGUACAAAGUUGAGUCAUCUAUUUUGAAACAGAGGAAGCAGCUCUAACUUUGAUCAUUGAUUUGACCAACAAAACAUAUGCAAUAUGCUACAAAUAUAUACCACUAGAUUAUGUUUUUCCAAGACAUAGUCAAAAUAACAAUGCAUUAACAACUACAAUACGAAAAAAAGAGCAUACCAAGUGCAUAGAAGCUCUCACACAAGAUGGGGUCUAGGGAGGGAUCAUAGGAACCUUGUUUUGCCCAUGCGAAGCGCAAUGCAGAGAGGCUGGUUCAAAUCCAGAACGGACAAGUGGGGAGGACUUCACCACUGCGCCAGCCCGCCCUCUAACUACAAUGUAUUGUUUGGUAUCAUAAUUCUUGAUAUUUUUCUACAAACUUAGUCAAAAUUUGUAUCAUUUGACUUUAAAAAAACUUGGUCACCACAAAAGCCCAAUUAAAUUAUGUAGUGUCUUGUAUACAAUACCGAAUACAAAUCUAUUAACAUCAAAUUUAAAUUGCAUAGGCUAUGUUAAUAAUGCAAGUGCACGUGGAAGCUAAAUAUAAGGUAUAUUAUAAAAUAGAAUAUGCCACAUUAAAUGAUCAAAUUGUAGUAUUAGUAAGCACAAUUAAGAAAACUAAGCUAUGGACAACCAAAACAGAGGUCAACGAUUAGACUAGUCUAACCUACUCAUAAUAUGAAAUAGAACAUAGCACAUAAAUUGGGAGGAACUGUAUAAGUAAGCAUUAUUAAGUAUAACUAAACACAUUAAAAAAAGUAAGUUAUACAAUUUAGUGUUAACUGAAAUAAUAGUCAAGGCUAAGACCAAUUUGAACUUUUGAAUCCUUUUAAUGUUUAUAACACUUGUUUUAACACAGUAAUAACAUAGAUGCUCGCAUAAUCUUCGCAGUCAACGGAAACAUCUUCUCACACAGAAAAAAAAACCAUUGGGAAGAAAGAAAUAAAUCUAGAAAAAUGCGAGCACCAAUGUCAAAUCUAAGUCUUGAACCCUAGUGGAAGUUCCAACACAAAGAACCCAACCAUCCAAGCUAUACUCAAUUUGUAUCUAGAGCGUUUUUAUAAUAUUGUUCAAAAUUUUGGUUAUGAAUAUAAUAAGUAUCACAAACCAAUGGAGUUGACUUCACAAACUCGAUACUAACUCAAUUAUGAUUUGAAUCUUGAUCACAAUAAGAUUACAAAAAAGUGGUAAACAAAAACAAAUCCUAACCUUGAAAUCUGUUGCAGAUUCAUCUUUUCAUAUGUCAUUGCCUUAAUUCUUCAUCACCAACUUUAGGGGUCUUGACAGAUCUGAACCAAUAUUAGGGUUUGAGAAUGUCAGAUGCUUCAAAGGUUCUUGAAGGCGCGGCGAGCGAUUAUGGCCCCAAUCGCAUCGAGCACGGAAGAGGAUGAUGUUGAGAGAAGAUGUCAAUAUGCUUAAAGGUGUGAGAGCAGAUCUAGAACCACAUAAUGUUAAGAUAAAAGAGAAGGAGGCAAAAAAAUAUAUAUUUCAGAUCUAAGAGAAUAAUCAAGAGACAUGAUCGAACAAUCAAACGGAGAAAUUUACAAAAUUGAACAAACAAGAGAACAAAUCCAACAUUAUCCAUCUAAAUGACAAAAUCCAAGAGAAAAAGAAAGAAAUAACACAAGGCAAAAGAGAGGAGCAUGCGAAAACGCCUUGUAGAUCGAGCCAGAGUCCAGCUCCAGAUCCCCA